CGCAUCUGUGCAUGCAGCAUAUCAAUAAGCGGAGGAAAGGAAACUAACAAGGAUUCCCUAGUAACGGCGAGUGAAGCGGGAAGAGCUCAAAUUUGAAAUCUUCAAGGUUUUACCUUGACGAAUUGUAGUUUAAAGAAGUGUUUUCUGCUGAAGUUUUGGUAAAAGUUCUUUGGAAUAGGACAUCAUAGAGGGUGAGAAUCCCGUAUUUGACCAUUAUUUUCAGCUUUGUGAUACACUUUCAAAGAGUCGGAUUGUUUGGGAAUGACAGUCCAAAAUAGGGUGGUAAAUUUCAUCUAAAGCUAAAUAUUGGCGAGAGACCGAUAGCGAACAAGUACCGUGAGGGAAAGAUGAAAAGAACUUUGAAAAGAGAGUUAAUCAGUACGUGAAAUUGUCAAAAGGGAAGCGUUUGACACCAGUGUUGUUUUCUCGAAAAUCAAUUAAAAAUGGCUCGAUUUUGUAUUGCUGAGACCUUAAAAGCUCACUGUACAUUUUUCGUGUCUUUUUUAAUGCACUUUUCGUUUAACAAGUCAACAUCAGUUUCUUUUGUUGUAAAAGGGUCAUUGGAAGGUGGCUUUCUUUUCGGAGAAAGUGUUUAUAGCCUUUGGCCUCUGCAAUCGAAGAGACUGAGGUCUGCAGCGUAGACUCUUCGGGGUUAGAUACACUUGUGCUAAGUUAUAGCUUUUUAUAGACAACUUGUUGACUAUAAUUAGUCUUGUAGCUUACUCGCUUAUGCUAUUUUACCUACGCUUAGGAUGUUGAUAGUCACAGCGUGUAC
rnacentral:rRNA from 1 species